CCUUCACUUACUUUCAAAACGUCAAGUUUUUUUUACAAAUAUUACGGGUGCCUCCGGUUGAUAACUUAGUUCUCCCCCUUUCUAAAUAAUCUCCUUUCGGUGGCCCCGUGUGGCAACUUUUGUCCCUCCGUCUAAUUAAUCCCUUUAUGUCGUCCCGGGUGGCCAAUUUACUACCCCGACGUCGCUAGUGAAAAGCACACCCGUAGCUCGCAACGGCGUUAGCGGGUCAUGUAGGAUAAAGAAAGAUAAAAAUCUAACGCUUUCAAUACCCCUUUCCCUCCGUAUAUGAUCCUUUGUAAAUUAUACAGAGACUAAAUAGACGUAUCACGUUGGUUUUAUUUCUAGAACGGAAUUAAAUACUAACAAAAAAGAAUCACUUUGUACGUUAAUUCCUUGUAAUUCCCCGUGGAAGGAUUGUUAAGUUCGUGUUAAGGGCAGCCGGUAGUAGAGACGAGUUAUUUUAUGAUGCCCAGGACUGAAGUGGCAGCAGGUGACUAGGGAGGGAGCGAAAUGGUCACGAUCCUGUCUUCAAAACGGGGCCAUUACCUUCGUUACAGCUAAAAACCCCCUCACGCUGUGCGUCAGCUGAAGCACAUGCUAAAGUAGUGCGAAAGGAGUCUGUUUCUUGUUGAUCUCAUUCAAAAGUGUCGGGAUUUAUAGAUUAGAACAAACGUGAAGUAGCAGAUCCAGGUCACGGGAAAUGUACAUAUUAAAAAUAUAUUCAAUAGCAUAUUAAGGUGGGGUCAGUGAGGGUUGUUAUAACUUGUUCACUAUAUUGUGACGUUAGACAAUUUCAAAAACGACCACCUAUUAUGUUUUUAUGAAUUGAAUGCAUCUCUGACAUUUGAAAAAAUCCAGUAAAUUACACUAUAUACGAUAGCAAUUUAAUCAGUAUACAAUAUCUGUGGUUGUGUCAACUUAACAAACUGAAAUCCAAAUGAAUUUGAAUACUGACAAUACUUGGAACAAGAAGGAAAAAUAUCGUGUUAGAUCUAAUUGUCGGGGGGCGGGUAAGGGAUAGUUCUAAUCGGAUGCCUAGUAGGCUCUGUGGUAGUCUCCUCUACCUCAACAGGUAGGCAACACGAAGUUAGAACGGCAGGCAUUCUAAUGAUGGCAGCGUCGCCUCUCCUCGCGUCCGUGGCCGAGACAACCUUUCUGUGUAAAAAAAUUAAACCCUAAGGUACUCGUUCGUGCCCGCGAUUCCGUCUGAACCAAUUCGGUUCUUGUUGCGUGGUUACGCGACUAAUUGUUACAGCACGAACUUGGAAAAGGUUCUAUGCUGCACAAAGUGUGGGGAUGUUAACACUCAAAAUAGUAACAAUAUUUAAUCAUACCCAUAGAACAAACGGUAAAUGGAAACAGAUGGUUUACAUCAUAUAAUAGGGUGACCGUGUGCACCUAAGAAGUAUGCCAGAAAAUCGUCACUUUUACCUUUACCUCUCCUGAUAGUACUAACUAAUAAACUUGGUCCGAAAUAAAAUCAAACUCCUCCUGAAGGUACUGUGACUAGAAGUCUCCCUUCGGGAAAAUCACUUCGUUCUUAACUCGAAACAGAACGUUGUCCUCCGGGGACUAUCCUUGUUGGUUGAAUACCUUACCUGGCUUGUUCUCUUAUAAGUACAAAGUGGAGCUGCCAUGACAAAAUUUAAACAGAAUCCAUAAUCACACACGAGAAUAUAUCGAUAAUGUUAUAACACAAAAAAACACUGUCGUACCUGAGGCCUAAGUUUCAAAAUGUCCUCUACCGGGUAGACAUACUUUGGUAGCCCUUACUGUACCAAGUAUUGUACGGAUCCUGACUACGUUCAUGUAAACAUUGCUCCAAUGUUGAAAGUAUAUAAACGAUUUAUAUAGAAGACUGAUAAAAAUACGAAUAAAACUUCCUAGGUUAUUCAGAGUCCUUCGCUGAUUACCAGGUCUACAACUACCAGUCCCUCUUACUUCGUUUCCUGUUGUAAGGUCUAGUUCAAUCUCAUCGCAACUCUAAAUAACCACCGAUUCCUCCUGACGACGUAGCUAUUUAUGGAUUUUUAUUUCACUACAAAUCAACAAACGAUCCAUUAUUAGACAAACUUACGGGCACGACUAGUCUACUAGUUUACUGUAAAAGAUUUUAUAAAUAUAUCAAAUUUCUCACUAACUACCACCGUAGGUGAUCGAUACAACCAACAAAUAAAUAGAAUGUAAGAUAGAUUUAAAAUGCCAACAUCUGGUCUGGUCAAACCUGGUAUGUACCACGAGGUCAACUUGGCCUCAUGAAAACACAACAUGCUACCGUCCAAGUGUUGUAUGAGUUUCAUCUGGUUCACUACAAAAGUCUGUAAGGCACGGAGCGUAGUAUAUGAUGGAGCAUAUCAUAUUGAGGUAGGUAUGUGCGUGACAAUAUGAUAUGCUCCAAAAGAAGCAGCCAUUAUUAGUGUAAGGUCGAUCUCUUAUGAGUUAUUUGUAUACUGCAAGUA
rnacentral:rRNA from 1 species